UACGUAGGGGGCUAGCGUUGUCCGGAAUCAUUGGGCGUAAAGCGCGCGUAGGCGGCCAGAUAAGUCCGGUGUGAAAGUCACAGGCUCAACCUGUGAAUGCCGCUGGAAACUGUCUGGCUAGAGUCCGGAAGGACGCAGUGGAAUUCCUGGUGUAGCGGUGGAAAUGCGCAGAUAUCAGGAGGAACACCCACUGGCGAAGGCGG
rnacentral:rRNA from 1 species